rnacentral:rRNA from 1 species
CAGCAGCCGCGGUAAUACGGAGGGUGCAAGCGUUAAUCGGAAUUACUGGGCGUAAAGCGCACGCAGGCGGUCUGACAAGUCAGAUGUGAAAUCCCCGGGCUUAACCUGGGAACUGCAUUUGAAACUGGCAAGCUAGAGUCUCGUAGAGGGGGGUAGAAUUCCAGGUGUAGCGGUGAAAUGCGUAGAGAUCUGGAGGAAUACCGGUGGCGAAGGCGGCCCCCUGGACAAAGACUGACGCUCAGGUGCGAAAGCGUGGGGAGCAAACAGGAUUAGAUACCCCGGUAGUCCCUGUCUCUUAUAC